ACUUCUGUUGUGAAUUCCUCAUCGAAGUUACUCACGUCUUCUUUGUUUCCGAUAGUCGGAAGGAAGGGAGGAGGGAGUUUACGGAGGAGAAGAGCCUCCCAGUCCAUACUCUGAAAAGUGAAAGUACAGUGUGUGGUGACGUCCGGAGCAGAGACGGGUUCAGUGGCCGGCUGCCGCUCCUGUGCCAAGAAGCAGAGAGGGGAGGAGUUACAGAGAGAUGGGCGUGGUUAAAGAGAAAGAGGAGGAGUUAUAGAGAGUCUCUCACUGGAGUGCUUGUAUCCGGCACAUCUCGACGAAUGUCCACCUUCAUCGAUGUUCCCAGUGAUCCCAUUCACCAGACCAACACAUUCUACUCUCUCCGGCAAUGAGACCAAUAUCCAGUAGCAUAGAAACAGAGAGACAGAGGGAGACGGAGGAAAAGAGAGCGAAAGAGAUGAGGGAAGGGAAAGCUGUGGUCGAGGGGUCGCCCUCCCUGUGCAGGAUAUCCGGUUAAACCUCUGCACGCUCUCUUCCUGUUUUCUGCGACGCAUGGCUUUACUAGAUGACACCAGUAUGGGGAAUAAGGCUAUUUUUUCCAUGGACAUGCAUCUUUUCACUGUCAACAGAUACCCUGAAGAUUAGCAGACCCUGUGAUCAAACUGCUAUCUGAUAAAAGCAAGUGAACACGGAGAGCCUGAGGCUGAUGCGGAUAAUUGCAAAAACACCAUUUCAACACUAGCAGAGAUUCAGCCUCAGAUAAACUAGCUCACAAUGACUAGACUGUGGCAGUUAAGUUUACCUUGCACAAAAACACAUGAGUCAUUUACAGUAACAGAAGCGAUGAGUGUAUUAGAAAGAUUUCUGACUCAGUGGCAUCAAAAUAGCCCUUUACUACAAGACCAACUUACACAUGGCUUUAGUUUACAAAAUGUAAAAGUAACAAAAUGGUAAUGUAUGUAAAAUAAUCUGGCUUCAUAUCUAAACUGCCAAUGAAAGGUUUGGGGUUUGUAAGGUUAUUUUUCUCUUAUGCUCACCAAGUAAAAAUACAAUGAAACAAUCAGUAUCCUUUGAUGAAUAGACAAUUCAAAAGCAUUUAUUUAAAACAGAAAUCUUUUGUAAAACUAUCAAUGUCUUUACUGUCACUUUUGAUCUAUUUAAUUCAUCCUUACUAUAUUAAUUUCUUUGCAUUUUCUUCAUCUGCAUUAAAAAUGGAGGCUUUUCUGAAAUCAGACUUAAUCUAAAACAUCAAAUGUGAUCAUUUAAACCCCAAAGGCCAGUUACAACAUAACAGAGAUAUACAAUAAAUCUUUAUCAUAUUGGUAAUCGGAUGAUUUUUUAAAAAUGAUCUGUUGGCUGAUUGUAUAUUUAACUGUGCAUGCUCAUUUUUCUUCUUCUUUUCUUUUUUCUUCUUUCUCUAACACUCACUGGAAAUUAAUAUGUAGAAAACACUACAUUUAAUAAUACUGUUAAAUGUAAUCUUUAGCAAAUCUCAAAAUUAAUAUGCUAAGACGCUUAAAUACACUUCUUAUAGGAUUUAAAAUAUUAGUAAUUUUUUUUUUUAUUCAGAAAAAAAAGUAGUAUAGAAUUUUAAUAUCUCCCAUUUAUCAGGAAAUUUAUUAGCGGUUUUUUUUUUUUUUCGUCAGAAUCUGGUGCAAAUGUGUCCUGGACGUGUGUCUGAAGAUGGACACACUUUAUUUAAACAACCAUGAGUACCAUUAACAAAUAUCAAAACUUCAAUCAAACUUGGACUAAAACUAGUUCACAUUUCCAACAUAAAAGUUCUGGCACCCAGAAGCUGACCGACCGUAGUACCAGAUCACUCCAAUAACAACCCUAAACACUCUUCUGUGGGACUCUUUCUGUGACACAACAUCAGAGCUAAUCGCUGUGGUUACAGUGAUACAGUUUCAGCAACAAUGGUUUAAGAGUACAACCACAGCAUCCUUUCGACCAUUCCACUCGAAUGCAAGUCAUCAGAUCUCUACUGAGACAACAUCUAAGGCCAGUUUGAUGGGGCAGCUCUCAUGCAUCAGCUCUCACAAAGGACUAGAA